rnacentral:misc_RNA from 2 species
CAACCCUCAAGCUCAGCUUGGUAUUAGGCUUCACCCUUAGGGGCGGGCUUUAAAAUCAGUGGCGGUGCCAUUCGGCUUCAAGCGUAGUAAUUUUCUCGCUUUGGAGACUGGGUGUGUGUUUGCCAAUAACCCCAUAUUUUUUAAA